GACGAACGCUGGCGGCGUGCUUAACACAUGCAAGUCGAACGGAAAGGCCCUGCUUGCAGGGUACUCGAGUGGCGAACGGGUGAGUAACACGUGGGUGAUCUGCCCUGCAUUUCGUGAUAAGCCUGGGAAACUGGGUCUAUUACAGGAUAGGAGCCAUUUUUAGUGUGAUGGUUGGAAAGUUUUUUCGGUGUAGGAUGAGCUCGCGGUCUAUCAGCUUGUUGGUGGGGUAAUGGCCUACCAAGGCGGCGACGGGUAGCCGGCCUGAGAGGGUGGACGGCCACAUUGGGACUGAGAUACGGCCCAGACUCCUACGGGGGGCAGCAGUGGGGAAUCUUGCACAAUGGGCGCAAGCCUGAUGCAGCGACGCCGCGUGGGGGAUGACGGCCUUCGGGUUGUAAACUCCUUUCGCUAGGGACGAAGCUUUUUGUGACGUUACCUAGAUAAGAAGCACCGGCUAACUACGUG
rnacentral:rRNA from 1 species